rnacentral:rRNA from 1 species
GAUGAACGCUACCCUUAGGCUUAACACAUGCAAGUCGAGGGGAAACGGCAUUAAGUGCUUGCACUUUUUGGACGUCGACCGGCGCACGGGUGAGUAACGCGUAUCCAACCUUCCCAUGACUAAGGGGUAACCUGCCGAAAGGCACACUAAUACCUUAUGGUCUUCACUGACGGCAUCAGAUGUGAAGUAAAGAUUUAUCGGUUAUGGAUGGGGAUGCGUCUGAUUAGCUUGUUGGCGGGGUAACGGCCCACCAAGGCAACGAUCAGUAGGGGUUCUGAGAGGAACGUCCCCCACAUUGGAACUGAGACACGGUCCAAACUCCUACGGGAGGCAUCAGUGAGGAAUAUUGGUUCAAUGGGCGAGAGCCUGAACCAUCCUAGUAGCGGUCAGGAAGAUCGCCCUAUGGGUUGUAAACUGCGUUUGUAUGGAGAUAAAGUCAAUCACGUGUGAUUGUUUGUCAGGCCCAUACUAAUAAAGACCUGCUAAUUCCUUGCCAUUCACCCCGGUUAAUACAGAAUGUCCGGGCGUUUUCCCGGAUUUAUUGGAGUUUAAAGGGAGCGUGGCUGGAGAUUAAGUGUGUUGUGAAAUGUAGACGCUCAACGUCUGACUUGCAGCGCAUACUGGUUUCCUUGAGUACGCACAACGUUGGCGGAAUUCGUCGUGUAGCGGUGAAAUGCUUAGAUAUGACGAAGAACUCCGAUUGCGAAGGCAGCUGACGGGAGCGCAACUGACGCUGAAGCUCGAAGGUGCGGGUAUCGAACAGGAUUAGAUACCCUGGUAGUCCGCACAGUAAACGAUGGAUGCCCGCUGUUGGUACCUGGUAUCAGCGGCUAAGCGAAAGCAUUAAGCAUCCCACCUGGGGAGUACGCCGGCAACGGUGAAACUCAAAGGAAUUGACGGGGGCCCGCACAAGCGGAGGAACAUGUGGUUUAAUUCGAUGAUACGCGAGGAACCUUACCCGGGCUUGAAUUGCAGAGGAAGGAUUUAGAGAUAAUGACGCCCUUCGGGGUCUCUGUGAAGGUGCUGCAUGGUUGUCGUCAGCUCGUGCCGUGAGGUGUCGGCUUAAGUGCCAUAACGAGCGCAACCCCUGUCUUUAGUUGCCAUCAGGUUAAGCUGGGCACUCUGGAGAUACUGCCACCGUAAGGUGUGAGGAAGGUGGGGAUGACGUCAAAUCAGCACGGCCCUUACGUCCGGGGCUACACACGUGUUACAAUGGCCGGUACAGAGGGACGGUGUAAUGUAAAUUGCAUCCAAUCUUGAAAGCCGGUCCCAGUUCGGACUGGGGUCUGCAACCCGACCCCACGAAGCUGGAUUCGCUAGUAAUCGCGCAUCAGCCAUGGCGCGGUGAAUACGUUCCCGGGCCU